AUCCUGCUCCACCCAAUCACCGCGCACGCUCUCCGUCGCAGCAGCUGCAACAGAAACCUUCCGUUCCCAUGACCGACGCUCCGGCUCCGCGGCACCAAUGGCGCUGACUCCUCCGUCGCCGCAGAGCCUCCGGCUCUCGUCCCGCCCUCCUCCGCCCUCCUCCGCCGCCCACCGCCUCCUCCUCUUCCCCGACCUCAUCGCCUGCUCCCGGCUCCUCCGCUGCCCGCCCCCUCCAUGGCCGCGCCUCCAGCUCGCGCCGCGGCGGAAGAGCGAGGCGCGCCCGUCCCCGGCCGUGAAGUGCACCGCCCGAUCGGCGGAGGAGGAGGGCCGGUGGAGCGACUCGGAGACGCUGGUCUCCGACGGCGACGGCGGCGACGGCAGGGUCCCCGGCGAGGACGGGAGCAGCCGGCGGAGGGCGGCGGCGGCCGCGUCCUCGGCCAGCGAUUACUUAUCUAUCGGGAUACGCGAACCGGUUUACGAGGUGGUGGAAGUGAAGCCGAACGGGAUGAUAUCGACUCGGAAGAUCAACAGACGGCACUUGUUGAAGUCAGGUGGCCUUCGUCCACGAGAUAUACGAAGUAUUGAUCCAUCACUCUGGCUGAUAAAUUCGAUGCCUUCUUUGCUGGUCCGUGAGCAUGCCAUUCUCCUUAAUUUGGGAUCAUUACGGGCAAUAGCAAUGCCAGAACGUGUGCUCAUAUUUAAUUAUAACAGUAGAGGAGGAAAAGCCUUCAUAGACUCAUUGUUGCCUCGAUUAAACCCCAAUAUGAAUGGAGGGCACUGUAUGCCUUUUGAGCUUGAGGUUGUUGAAGCAGCCUUGAUUUCACGCAUACAGCGUUACGAGCAAAGACUGAUGAAUCUAGAACCUCGUGUUCUAUCUUUACUUGAGGUUUUACCCAACAGAUUGACAGCUGAUAUCCUAGAGGAACUCCGUCUUAGCAAGCAGAUGUUGGUUGAACUGGGUUCGAGAGCUGGGGCUCUGAAACAGAUGCUUCUCGAUCUUCUAGAGGAUCCUCAUGAGAUACGCCGCAUUUGUAUUAUGGGAAGAAAUUGCACACUUACGAAAGGGAAUGAUAAUGUGGAAUGUUCUGUUCCUCUUGAAAAACAGAUUGCUGAGGAAGAGGAGGAAGAAAUUGAGAUGCUUCUGGAAAACUACCUGCAAAGGUGUGAAUCUUGUCAUGUUCAAGCUGAAAGACUCCUUGAUUCUGCCAAAGAAAUGGAAGACUCUAUUGCUGUCAAUUUAAGCUCUCGGAGGCUUGAAGUCAGUAGGGUGGAGUUGCUUCUUCAGGUUGGAGCAUUUUGUGUGGCAGUUGGUGCAUUGGUUGCAGGUAUUUUUGGCAUGAAUCUGAAGUCCUAUCUAGAAGAACAUGUGUUCGCAUUUUGGUUGACAACUGCUGGAAUUAUUUUUGGUGCUGUUGUGGCUUUCUUCCUUAUGUAUGCAUAUCUCAAGGCAAGGAAAAUACUGUAACUCGGAUACCAAUUCUUGGUCACAUGGAAGGGGAACUCGAGAUGUUGUCCUUUGGUUGUUAUGAGAGAACCAGCAAGCAUUACAAGAAACAUAGAGGAAGAUCUCUUCUCGAGCGGGGAAGCGGGCAUGAGGGCAAAGCUGCAUGAACCAAGAUGCUUCCGGAUGAGCACUACCGUGUCUGAGCGAAAACGACAGCAUCUUAAGUGCAACAACAUGCCUAAACUAAAUACGGUCAUAUGCUUCCAGUAAUCCAGAUGGUAGCAGAUUUUCUCAGACGUCGCCCGGUUUGUCCUUGAACAGCAGCACCAACGCAUCUUUGCUUUGGUCGUUGAUGAAUGAAGGAUAAAGAAUGAUCGAUCCCUCUAUCGGGAAACACGGGGGCUCAGCCAGCUAUGCACCUCCAAAUCUGGGCUCAACACGGGCUUACUCGGGUCCGCCGUAGAGUUGAGAUCUUCUUCCCGCGACCUUGCGCUUUCACAUUAUUGAUAAAAGAUCUGUAGCAGUUGUCCUCGACACUCUUAAACGGAUUAGCUGCGUAGCACAGUGGGUUGCAGAGGAAAUCCUCGACCAUGUCCAUAGCCUUACGAAAUGCGCAUAACACGAGGUUCCCAAACCAGUCAUCAGGCACAUUUGGGUUCAGCCAAUUUCGACAAUUGACCGCGAUUCGCAGCUGCGUAAAAGAUCAGAUUUUACACAGGAUAGCUUUGAUGAUCGACCGUGCAAGUUAGGUAUGUUGGUUGGAUUACCUAUAAUUUAAAUUAUCCUCGUGUAAAAGCUAGACACUACUUUUAACAAAAGUAUCUUAUCAACCCCGCAACACAUAGGUAUGAACGAUCUGCAUAUUCAAUAUCGAAGGAAGUAAAAAAAUUGAAGUAGAUUUCUGAAACAUUCGGUUGUAUGGAUAUGACAUCGGAA